AGGUUCGCAUAAGAAAAUAAUUUAUGCUGCCGCACUAAGGAUUUUUUACAUCUACAAGGCUCGUAGGGAGGCUAAGAGGAAAGAUAAGAAAGCCGGCUGCAGUCAUUCUGCUCCCUUUUUUUGUCUUCCACGUCGCUUACCUCUCACUCAGCGAGCGUUUUCAGUACGCGUACCACAUGAUCGUGAGCUUCAGUUUUGGAAUUACGAGCUCGAUAUUAUGGAUUCUUUGGGGCUGUUAUAUGAUUUACCAAUAUAAAACAAACUACGCCUAUAAAUGCCUUUUGCCCAUUUUCGCUACAGGAUUAUUGUCGCUCUUAGAAGUUUGGGAUUUCCCUCCUUUCUUUUUUUUGAUCGAUGCACACUCACUAUGGCACUUGGGAACUGUUUUCGUUCAGCCCUUAUGGUAUGAUUUUUUAGUCGAAGAUGCUAUAUACAAUAAAUGCAAUUAAAGCUUAACCG